AGCCCCGUAGUGCAGCGGCCAAGCACGGGAGCCUCUGGAGUUCCAGACGGCGGUUCGAAUCCGCCCGGGGCUA
rnacentral:tRNA from 1 species